AAACAUGCAGCUUAGUGGCCUUAGUUUUGCAAAAACUACAGAGAAAUAUAUUAUUUCCAUGUUUU
rnacentral:tRNA from 1 species